GGCUUUUCUUUCUUGGGAGAUUUUUGAUUACUGAUUCAGUCUCCUUAUACAUUAUUGGUCUGCUGAGAUUUUCUAUUCUUCAUAAUUUAAUUUUGGUAGGUGGUAUGUUUCUAGUAAUUUGUUCAUUUCUUAUAAGUUAUCUAAUUUAUUGGCAUAUAAUUAUUCAUAGUUGUCUCUUAUGAUCUUUUGAAUUUCCGUGGUAUGAGUUGUAAUGUCUCUUCUUUAAUUUAAAAUUUUACUUGAAUUCUCUCUUUUCCUAAAUUAGUCUAGCCAAGGGUUUGUCGACUUUCUCUUUUCAGAAAACCAACUCUUAGUCUCAUUGAUCUUUCUACUGUUUUUCUAUAAUAGUCUCUAUUUUCUCUAUUUUAUUUUUCCUGCUCUAAUUUUUGUUAUUUUCUUCCUUUGCUAACUUGAGGCUUGGCCUAUUAUUCUCUUACCUCCUUGAGGUAUAAAGUUAGGUUGUUUAGUUGAGAUAUUUCAUUUUUCUUAACGUAAGUUUUUUGAUUUUUUGCUUGUUUGUUUUUAAGACAGGGUCUUGCUCUGUUGCCCAGGCAGAAGCACAGUGAUGUGAUCAUGGCUCACUGCAGCCUCAACCUCCUGAGCUCAAGUGAUCCUUCCAUCUCAGCCUCCCAAGUAACUGGGACCACAGGCAGAUGCCACCAUGCCCAGUGACUCCGUUCACAUGCUCCCGUCUUGUCAUCAAGCCCUGUUCAUCUCUCACCAUCUCUCACCUGGACCAUUGCCAGUUUCUGAGCUGCCUGCUCUUGAAUACCAGCUUCCUGAAAAUAUCACCAAAACGAUCUGGUCCUCAGACAAAGCAGAGUCUAUUGCUCACUGCAGUAACAGAGAGCUCCGUCUUCAGAGUCUUGGUAACAUUUCGCUGAGAGGACAACCCAAUCACACUGUUUAGGAGAUUUUGGAUUCUGACUAAGGUGCCUGGAGCAAAAAUGUGUCCAGAAUUGGUGGGUUGUUGGUCUCGCUGACCUCAAGAACGGAGCCGUGGACCCUCGCGUUGGCUGGGAAAUGAAAUUCAGUGAAUCAGAGUCAUCAUUAGAAAAUGAAAUAGAAGAACCAUACCAGAGCAUAAUGCACAUUACAAAGACAGGGUCUCAUUAUUGUUGCCCAGACUCAUCUCAAAC
rnacentral:lncRNA from 1 species